GAGCGCUUAAUGUCUGUGUCUGAUGUUAUAUAGCUAGCUUCCAGACUCUCAUGAAGUCAUAGAGCAUCCGAUGGAUUUCGGAACCGUGCAGAACAAGCUGUACAGCUGAGCAUACACUAACCUGGAACAGUUUGAGGUCGGUCCUCAUUUGGAAUAUACAUGACACAGGCGCAAGUAGUUCGUUUGGUGGUGGUGCAGAUGCUGGUACGAUUCUUCAUCAACACAUGGGAAUGCAAUCGACUGUUCUCUGCGGAUCAAGCCAAUGUCAAAUGAGCAAAGAAGACAAGAAGUGUAACUCUCGAGUCUACAGACAAAUGUGAGAAGAUGACGGAAUUCGUGCCUUACUUAUCACCACAAGCCUUUUGGCGUCGCGUAUCGAACUC